AGAGUUUGAUUAUGGCUCAGGAUGAACGCUGGCGGCGUGCUUAACACAUGCAAGUCGAACGGAGUUUACAUGAAACCUAGUGAUUGUAAACUUAGUGGCGGACGGGUGAGUAACGCGUGGGUAACCUGCCGUAUACCGGGGGAUAACACUUAGAAAUAGGUGCUAAUACCGCAUAAGCGCACGAGAUCGCAUGAUCAUGUGUGAAAAACUCCGGUGGUAUACGAUGGACCCGCGUCUGAUUAGAUAGUUGGUGAGGUAACGGCCCACCAAGUCAACGAUCAGUAGCCGGCCUGAGAGGGUGAACGGCCACAUUGGGACUGAGACACGGCCCAAACUCCUACGGGAGGCAGCAGUGGGGAAUAUUGGACAAUGGGGGCAACCCUGAUCCAAGCGACGCCGCGUGAGUGAAGAAGUAUUUCGGUAUGUAAAGCUCUAUCAGCAGGGAAGAAAAUGACGGUACCUGACUAAGAAGCCCCGGCUAACUACGUGCCAGCCGCUGC
rnacentral:rRNA from 1 species